rnacentral:rRNA from 1 species
UACGGAGGGGGCUAGCGUUGUUCGGAAUUACUGGGCGUAAAGCGCACGUAGGCGGCUUUGUAAGUUAGAGGUGAAAGCCCGGGGCUCAACUCCGGAAUUGCCUUUAAGACUGCAUCGCUAGAAUUGUGGAGAGGUAAGUGGAAUUCCGAGUGUAGAGGUGAAAUUCGUAGAUAUUCGGAAGGAACACCAGUGGCGAAGGCGACUUACUGGACAC